rnacentral:rRNA from 1 species
GUAGGUGGCAAGCGUUGUCUGGAAUUAUUGGGCGUAAAGCGCGCGCAGGUGGUUCUUUAAGUCUGAUGUGAAAGCCCCCGGGCUCAACCGGGGAGGGUCAUUGGAAACUGGGGAACUUGAGUGCAGGAGAGGAAAGUGGAAUUCCACGUGUAGCGGUGAAAUGCGUAGAUAUGUGGAGGAACACCAGUGGCGAAGGCGACUUUCUGGCCUGUAACUGACACUGAGGCGCGAAAGCGUGGGGAGCAAACAGGAUUAGAUACCCUGGUAGUCCACGCCGUAAACGAUGAGUGCUAAGUGUUGGGGGGUUUCCGCCCCUCAGUGCUGCAGCUAACGCAUUAAGCACUCCGCCUGGGGAGUACGGUCGCAAAGACUG